AGUGAACGCUGGCGGUAGGCCUAACACAUGCAAGUCGAACGGCAGCACAGUAAGAGCUUGCUCUUACGGGUGGCGAGUGGCGGACGGGUGAGGAAUACAUCGGAAUCUACUUUUUCGUGGGGGAUAACGUAGGGAAACUUACGCUAAUACCGCAUACGACCUACGGGUGAAAGCAGGGGAUCUUCGGACUUUGCGCGAUUGAAUGAGCCGAUGUCGGAUUAGCUAGUUGGCGGGGUAAAGGCCCACCAAGGCGACGAUCCGUAGCUGGUCUGAGAGGAUGCUCCGCCACACUGGACCUGGGACACGGUCCAACCUCCUACGGGAGCCAGCGGUGGGAAAUAUUGGACAAUGGGCACAAGCCUGAUCCAGCCAUCCCGCGUGGGUGAAAAAGGCCUUCGGGUUGUAAAGCCCUUUUGUUGGGAAAGAAAAACAGCAGGUUAAUACCCCGCUGUUCUGCCGGUACCCAAAGAAUAGGCACCGGCUACCUUCGU
rnacentral:rRNA from 1 species